CCUACGGGUGGCAGCAGUGGGGAAUAUUGCGCAAUGGGCGAAAGCCUGACGCAGCGACGCCGCGUGAGGGAUGAAGGUCUUAGGAUCGUAAAACUCUGUCAGCAGGGAAGAAAGGUCGCUGUGCUAAUCAGGAGUGAAUUGACGGUACCUGCAAAGGAAGCACCGGCUAACUCCGUGCCAGCAGCCGAGGUAAUACGGAGGGUGCGAGCGUGGAACGGAAUUACUGGGAGGAAAGCGCUCGUAGGCGGGAUGUCUAGGCAAGCGUUAACUCCCCGCGAUCAACGUGGGAACUGCCGUUGAAACUGGCAAACUGGAGUGGGCGAGAGGAUAGUGGAAUUCCAGGUGUAGGAGUGAAAUGCGUAGAUAUCGGGAGGAACAUCAGUGGCGAAGGCGACUAUCUGGCACAUAACUGACGCUGAGGAGCGAAAGCGUGGGUAGCAAACAGGAUUAGAUACCCGGGUAGUC
rnacentral:rRNA from 1 species